rnacentral:snRNA from 1 species
GUCCUCACUUCAGCAGUACAUAUACUAAAAUUGGAACGAUACAGAGAAGAUUAGCAUGGCCCUGCGCAAGGAUGAUAUGCAAAUUUGGGAAGCAUUAUAAAAUAAU